rnacentral:rRNA from 1 species
GAAUCAUCGAAUCUUUGAACGCACAUUGCGCCCUUUGGUAUUCCAAAGGGCAUGCCUGUUCGAGCGUCAUUUGUACCCUCAAGCUUUGCUUGGUGUUGGGCGUUUUUGUCUUGGGGCCUGCCCCCAAAAGACUCGCCUUAAAAAGAUUGGCAGCCGGCCUACUGGUUUCGCAGCGCAGCACAUUUUUGCGCUUGCAACCAGCCCUAAAGAGGACGGCACUCCAUCAAGUCUCUUUAUUCACUUUUGACCUCGGAUCAGGUAGGGAUACCCGCUGAACUUAAGCAUAUCAAUAAGCGGAGGAAAAGAAACCAACAGGGAUUGCCUUAGUAACGGCGAGUGAAGCGGCAACAGCUCAAAUUUGAAAUCUGGCUCUUUUAGGGUCCGAGUUGUAAUUUGCAGAGGGCGCUUUGGCUUUGGCAGCGGUCCAAGUUCCUUGGAACAGGACGUCACAGAGGGUGAGAAUCCCGUACGUGGUCGCUAGCUAUUGCCGUGUAAAGCCCCUUCGACGAGUCGAGUUGUUUGGGAAUGCAGCUCUAAAUGGGAGGUAAAUUUCUUCUAAAGCUAAAUAUU